AACUUCUCAACCACAUUGAUUGUGGCUUGGAUGGUGGGGGUUUGUUUUGCAGGCUUCUUCUGUAAAAAAGAAAGGUCGGCUCCCCUGAAAUGUAUCAGUGGUAUCUGAGGCUAUUACUAUAGGUGUGAUAAUUAUCUAUGCCCUUGGUAUGCUGCAUGAACUGCUUCCAACAGAGAUGACCCUUUUGAUGA
rnacentral:misc_RNA from 1 species